GAUGAACGCUGGCGGCGUGCCUAAUACAUGCAAGUCGAACGAACGGACGAGACGCUUGCUUCUCUGAUGUUAGCGGCGGACGUGUGAGUAACACGUGGAUACCCUACCUAUAAGACUGGUAUAACUUCGGGAAACUGUCGCUAAUACCGGAGAAUAUUUUGAACCGCAUUGUUCAAAAGUAAAAUACGGUCUUGCUGUCUCUUAUAGAUGGAUCCGCGCUUCUUUAGCUAGUUGGUGAGUUAACGGCUUACCAAGGCAACGAUGCAUAGCCGACCUCAGAGGGUGAUAGGCGACAUUGGAACGGAGACGGCGUCCAGAGUCCUACGGGAGGCAGCAGUAGGGAAUCGGACGCAGUGGGCGAAAGCAUGACGGAGCAACGCCGCGUGAGUGAUGAAGGUCUUCGGUGCGUAAAACCGUGUUAUUAGUGAAGAACAGAUGUGUAAGUAAAUGUGCACAUAUUGACGGUACCUAAUCAGAAAGCAACGGCUAACUACGUG
rnacentral:rRNA from 1 species